AGAGUUGAUCAUGGCUCAGGACGAACGCUGGCGGCGUGCCUAACACAUGCAAGUCGAACGGAGCUAUUGACUUCGGUUGAUAGCUUAGUGGCGAACGGGUGAGUAACGCGUGAGCAACCUGUCUUUCAGAGGGGGAUAACAACGAGAAAUCGUUGCUAAUACCGCAUAAGACCACACUGUCGCAUGGCAGAGGGGUAAAAGGAGCAAUCCGCUGAUUGAGGGGCUCGCGUCCCAUUAGAUAGUAGGUGAGGUAACGGCUCACCUAGUCUGCGAUGGGUAGCCGAGCUGAGAGGCUGAACGGCCACACCGGAACUGAGACACGGUCCAGACUCCUACGGGAGGCAGCAGUGGGGAAUAUUGGGCAAUGGGCGAAAGCCUGACCCAGCAACGCCGCGUGAGGGAAGAAGGUCUUCGGAUUGUAAACCUCUGUUCUUGGUGACGAAAAAGAUGACGGUAGCCAAGGAGAAAGCCCCGGCUAACUACGUGCCAGCAGCCGCGGUAAUACGUAGGGGGCAAGCGUUGUCCGGAAUCACUGGGCGUAAAGGGUGAGUAGGCGGUUAUUUAAGUUGGGUGUGAAAUCCCCGGGCUUAACCUGGGAAUCGCACUCAAAACUGGGUAACUAGAGUGUCGGAGAGGAAAGCGGAAUUCCUGGUGUAGCGGUGAAAUGCGUAGAUAUCAGGAGGAACACCGGUGGCGAAGGCGGCUUUCUGGACGAUAACUGACGCUGAGGCACGAAAGCGUGGGGAGCAAACAGGAUUAGAUACCCUGGUAGUCCACGCUGUAAACGAUGAAUACUAGGUGUAGGGGGUGUAUACUCUCUGUGCCGCAGCUAACGCAAUAAGUAUUCCGCCUGGGGAGUACGGUCGCAAGACUAAAACUCAAAUGAAUUGACGG
rnacentral:rRNA from 1 species